UUGUCCCUGGGCUAUUUGCCAGUUGCGAAAAGCCUCGAGCCUAUUUUACGAAUUUAGGGGACGCCGAGACGAUGAUGUGUGCAUGUCUGCUCUGCAGAAAGCCUAAUUCAUCGCGGGGGUCACCGCCUUGAACUGCUUGGUUCAAGGUCUUCCGCGACAGCGGUAGUUUGGGGACACA
rnacentral:other from 1 species